rnacentral:rRNA from 1 species
ACUAAGCGUACACGGUGGAUGCCCUGGCAGUCAGAGGCGAUGAAGGGCGUGCUAAUCUGCGAUAAGCGCCGGUAAGGUGAUAUGAACCGUUAUAACCGGCGAUACCCGAAUGGGGAAACCCAGUGUGAUUCGUCACACUAUCAUUAACUGAAUCCAUAGGUUAAUGAGGCGAACCGGGGGAACUGAAACAUCUAAGUACCCCGAGGAAAAGAAAUCAACCGAGAUUCCCCCAGUAGCGGCGAGCGAACGGGGAGGAGCCCAGAGCCUGAAUCAGCAUGUGUGUUAGUGGAAGCGUCUGGAAAGGCGCGCGAUACAGGGUGACAGCCCCGUACACAAAAGCGCAUGUGCUGUGAGCUCGAUGAGUAGGGCGGGACACGUGGUAUCCUGUCUGAAUAUGGGGGGACCAUCCUCCAAGGCUAAAUACUCCUGACUGACCGAUAGUGAACCAGUACCGUGAGGGAAAGGCGAAAAGAACCCCGGCGAGGGGAGUGAAAAAGAACCUGAAACCGUGUACGUACAAGCAGUGGGAGCACAGGUUUACCUGUGUGACUGCGUACCUUUUGUAUAAUGGGUCAGCGACUUAUAUUCUGUAGCAAGGUUAACCGCAUAGGGGAGCCGGAGGGAAACCGAGUCUUAAUUGGGCGUUAAGUUGCAGGGUAUAGACCCGAAACCCGGUGAUCUAGCCAUGGGCAGGUUGAAGGUUGGGUAACACUAACUGGAGGACCGAACCGACUAAUGUUGAAAAAUUAGCGGAUGACCUGUGGCUGGGGGUGAAAGGCCAAUCAAACCGGGAGAUAGCUGGUUCUCCCCGAAAGCUAUUUAGGUAGCGCCUCGUGAAUUCAUCUCCGGGGGUAGAGCACUGUUUCGGCUAGGGGGCCAUCCCGGCUUACCAACCCGAUGCAAACUGCGAAUACCGGAGAAUGUUAUCACGGGAGACACACGGCGGGUGCUAACGUCCGUCGUGAAGAGGGAAACAACCCAGACCGCCAGCUAAGGUCCCAAAGUCAUGGUUAAGUGGGAAACGAUGUGGGAAGGCCCAGACAGCCAGGAUGUUGGCUUAGAAGCAGCCAUCAUUUAAAGAAAGCGUAAUAGCUCACUGGUCGAGUCGGCCUGCGCGGAAGAUGUAACGGGGCUAAACCAUGCACCGAAGCUGCGGCAGCGAACGUAUCACUUAAAGCGAUUCAGCGGGUUACGAUUGACGGAGCGAAGCGACGUCAAAGCGUAUACAAAGUCGAGUCGGUUUAAGGAUACGUUCGUUGGGUAGGGGAGCGUUCUGUAAGCCUGUGAAGGUGGCCUGUGAGGGUUGCUGGAGGUAUCAGAAGUGCGAAUGCUGACAUAAGUAACGAUAAAGCGGGUGAAAAGCCCGCUCGCCGGAAGACCAAGGGUUCCUGUCCAACGUUAAUCGGGGCAGGGUGAGUCGACCCCUAAGGCGAGGCCGAAAGGCGUAGUCGAUGGGAAACGGGUUAAUAUUCCCGUACUUGGUGUUACUGCGAAGGGGGGACGGAGAAGGCUAUGUUGGCCGGGCGACGGUUGUCCCGGUUUAAGCGUGUAGGUGUGUGUUCCAGGUAAAUCCGGUUCACUUUAACACUGAGGCGUGACGACGAGGCACUACGGUGCUGAAGCAACAAAUGCCCUGCUUCCAGGAAAAGCCUCUAAGCAUCAGGUAACAUCAAAUCGUACCCCAAACCGACACAGGUGGUCAGGUAGAGAAUACCAAGGCGCUUGAGAGAACUCGGGUGAAGGAACUAGGCAAAAUGGUGCCGUAACUUCGGGAGAAGGCACGCUGACACGUAGGUGAAGUGAUUUACUCAUGGAGCUGAAGUCAGUCGAAGAUACCAGCUGGCUGCAACUGUUUAUUAAAAACACAGCACUGUGCAAACACGAAAGUGGACGUAUACGGUGUGACGCCUGCCCGGUGCCGGAAGGUUAAUUGAUGGGGUCAGCGCAAGCGAAGCUCCUGAUCGAAGCCCCGGUAAACGGCGGCCGUAACUAUAACGGUCCUAAGGUAGCGAAAUUCCUUGUCGGGUAAGUUCCGACCUGCACGAAUGGCGUAAUGAUGGCCAGGCUGUCUCCACCCGAGACUCAGUGAAAUUGAACUCGCUGUGAAGAUGCAGUGUACCCGCGGCAAGACGGAAAGACCCCGUGAACCUUUACUAUAGCUUGACACUGAACAUUGAGCCUUGAUGUGUAGGAUAGGUGGGAGGCUUUGAAGUGUGGACGCCAGUCUGCGUGGAGCCAACCUUGAAAUACCACCCUUUAAUGUUUGAUGUUCUAACGUGGACCCGUAAUCCGGGUUGCGGACAGUGUCUGGUGGGUAGUUUGACUGGGGCGGUCUCCUCCUAAAGAGUAACGGAGGAGCACGAAGGUUGGCUAAUCCUGGUCGGACAUCAGGAGGUUAGUGCAAUGGCAUAAGCCAGCUUGACUGCGAGCGUGACGGCGCGAGCAGGUGCGAAAGCAGGUCAUAGUGAUCCGGUGGUUCUGAAUGGAAGGGCCAUCGCUCAACGGAUAAAAGGUACUCCGGGGAUAACAGGCUGAUACCGCCCAAGAGUUCAUAUCGACGGCGGUGUUUGGCACCUCGAUGUCGGCUCAUCACAUCCUGGGGCUGAAGUAGGUCCCAAGGGUAUGGCUGUUCGCCAUUUAAAGUGGUACGCGAGCUGGGUUUAGAACGUCGUGAGACAGUUCGGUCCCUAUCUGCCGUGGGCGCUGGAGAACUGAGGGGGGCUGCUCCUAGUACGAGAGGACCGGAGUGGACGCAUCACUGGUGUUCGGGUUGUCAUGCCAAUGGCACUGCCCGGUAGCUAAAUGCGGAAGAGAUAAGUGCUGAAAGCAUCUAAGCACGAAACUUGCCCCGAGAUGAGUUCUCCCUGAGACUUUAGGUCUCCUGAAGGAACGUUGAAGACGACGACGUUGAUAGGCCGGGUGUGUAAGCGCAGCGAUGCGUUGAGCUAACCGGUACUAAUGAACCGUGAGGCUUAACC